rnacentral:rRNA from 1 species
GACAGAGGGUGCAAACGUUGUUCGGAAUUACUGGGCGUACAGCGCGUGUAGGCGGUUAUGCAAGUCGGGUGUGAAAGCCCCGGGCUCAACCCGGGAAGUGCCUUCGAUACUGCGUAGCUAGAGUACUGGAGAGGAAGGUGGAACUCUCGGUGUAGAGGUGAAAGUCGCAGAUAUCGAGAAGAACACCGGUGGCGAAGGCGGCCAUCUGGACAGAUACUGACGCUGAGACGCGAAAGCGUGGGGAGCAAACAGG